rnacentral:rRNA from 1 species
UAGUCCACGCCGUAAACGAUGUCUACUUGGAGGUUGUGGCCUUGAGCCGUGGCUUUCGGAGCUAACACGUUAAGUAGACCGCCUGGGGAGUACGGUCGCAAGAUUAAAACUCAAAUGAAUUGACGGGGGCCCGCACAAGCGGUGGAGCAUGUGGUUUAAUUCGAUGCAACGCGAAGAACCUUACCUACUCUUGACAUCCAGAGAAGCCAGCGGAGACGCAGGUGUGCCUUCGGGAGCUCUGAGACAGGUGCUGCAUGGCUGUCGUCAGCUCGUGUUGUGAAAUGUUGGGUUAAGUCCCGCAACGAGCGCAACCCUUAUCCUUGUUUGCCAGCGAGUAAUGUCGGGAACUCCAGGGAGACUGCCGGUGAUAAACCGGAGGAAGGUGGGGACGACGUCAAGUCAUCAUGGCCCUUACGAGUAGGGCUACACACGUGCUACAAUGGCGCAUACAGCGGGAAGCGAAGUCGCGAGAUGGAGCUAAUCCCCUAAAGUGCAUCCCAGUUCGG